rnacentral:rRNA from 1 species
CAGUAGCCGCGGGAAUACAGAGGAUGCAAGCGUUAUCCGGAAUGAUUGGGCGUAAAGCGUCUGUAGGUGGCUUUUCAAGUCCGCCGUCAAAUCCCAGGGCUCAACCCAUAGUCUGCACAGGAAACUGUCGGGCUUGAGAGUGGGAGAGGUGAGUGGAAUUUCCGGUGUAGCGGUGAAAUGCGUAGAUAUCGGAAGGAACACCUGUGGCGAAAGCGGCACACUGGACCAUUUCUGACGCUGAUGCACGAAAGCUAGGGUAGCAAACAGGAUUAGAUACCCCAGUAGUCCCUGUCUCUUAUAC